CAGUCGCCGCGGUAAUACGUAGGGUGCAAGCGUUGUCCGGAAUUAUUGGGCGUAAAGAGCUCGUAGGCGGUUUGUCGCGUCUGCUGUGAAAACGCGAGGCUCAACCUCGCGCCUGCAGUGGGUACGGGCAGACUAGAGUGUGGUAGGGGAGAUUGGAAUUUCUGGUGUAGCGGUGGAAUGCGCAGAUAUCAGGAGGAACACCGAUGGCGAAGGCAGAUCUCUGGGCCAUUACUGACGCUGAGGAGCGAAAGCGUGGGGAGCGAACAGGAUUAGAUACCCGGGUAGUCCCUGUCUCUUAUAC
rnacentral:rRNA from 1 species